UACGUAGGCAGCGAGCGUUGUUCGGAGUUACUGGGCGUAAAGCGUGCGUAGGCGGUUUUGUAAGUUUGGUGUGAAAUCUCCCGGCUCAACUGGGAGGGUGCGCCGAAAACUGCAAGGCUGGAGUGUGGGAGAGGCAGGUGGAAUUCCCGGUGUAGCGGUGGAAUGCGUAGAGAUCGGGAAGAACAUCGGUGGCGAAGGCGGCCUGCUGGGCUGUUGCUGACGCUGAGGCGCGACAGCGUGGGGAGCAAACAGG
rnacentral:rRNA from 1 species